AAUAGGCCUUUACAUGAUGUAUUAAGAAUCUUGUGGACCACACUCAGAACGCAAUGCUGGACAGUGAUCUUAUACAGGGCCUAUACAUACAUAAAUUCUGCCAUUAAAAAUGAAUUAAGGUAUAAAACUCAAUUUUUAGGAGAUCAUAAACCGAUUGGACUGAAUUAAAAGGGCUCGACAGCUGAAAAUAGACACCCAGUCCGAUGCACCAUUUACUUCUUCAAUGAAAAGAUGAUAGAGAAAGGAGCGGCUCAAGAAUUAACCUGGUGUUGACCAAGACAUCAUUGAAUACUGUCACCUAGCAGCUAGUCAGCGAUGAAUGGAGCAGAUUUUCAUCAGGAUGACGGUCAGGUAUAGAUGAGAGGAUUUUACUUGGAAGGCAUCCGUAUGUGGUUAUCUUGGUGAGAUGAGGUCCGACGUCAUCAUUGAACGACCAAUCCGAUUUCCCAUUUGAGAAGACACAGUUUUACCAUGAGAAGGAGAGGAAUGUGGAUAAUUGACUUGGGUUGACGAAUAUACCAAGCCGAUACCAUGAUUGUCAAGUUCACCCGAUGCAGUAUCAUUAUCAUGGUUAGGUGUGAUCAAAAAUCUAGUCGAUGGUCUUCUGUCGGCUCCAGCCCGAUAACCCAUACGUUACAAUCAUGAAGGAAAUGAAGUUAAAGUUCAAAUCAAUUUGAAUAAAUGAUAGAGGAAAAUCAAACCAGCAUAAUGCUAAAGAAUUCAGCAAUAUCGGAUGUAAAAUAAGAAAGUUAUGACAUUUGAAAAUGUCGCUUAUUCUGCGCAAAAACACACGCCUCACAGUGAUGUACAAACGAGAGAUUCGAUGCUGUCACACACUCACUUUCUUUUUAUAAUUUUUUUUUAUGAAUUACAUACAAUAUUUUCAAUUUUUGCAGAAUUGACCAGGAUGAAAAGAUUCAGUUGGUCAGAGCUUACAACAAUGCCCUUUUUACAUUUCACUUUAUAAUGAGGAGACAGAAUGGUAAAAUUCAGCGAUAUUUAAAAUAUAAGAGCUUCCUUAUUUUACAUCCAACUUGAUGAAAUUUUCAUCAUUAUGCAUUAGUGGUCUUUUGAGACUUUUAAAGGCAAUGUUUUUUAAAGUUUGGUUGCCCCUUCAUUGCAUUAUUUCAUUUCAAAAUCUCGCCACUGUUCUAAAAGUUUCACACCCUAGUUCUAAAACCACAUUUAUUUCAUCGGCACAUUUGGAGUUUAGAAAG